rnacentral:rRNA from 1 species
GAGUUUGAUCAUGGCUCAGAUUGAACGCUGGCGGCAGGCCUAACACAUGCAAGUCGAGCGGCAGCACGGGAGCUUGCUCCUGGUGGCGAGCGGCGGACGGGUGAGGAACACGUGGGAAUCUACCUAUUGGUGGGGGAUAGCUUGGGGAAACUCAAGGUAAUACCGCAUAAGCCCUACGGGGGAAAGCAGGGGACCUUCGGGCCUUGCGUCGAUAGAUGAGCCUGCGUCGGAUUAGCUAGUUGGUAGGGUAAAGGCCUACCAAGGCGACGAUCCGUAGCUGGUCUGAGAGGAUGAUCAGCCACACUGGGACUGAGACACGGCCCAGACUCCUACGGGAGGCAGCAGUGGGGAAUAUUGGACAAUGGGGGAAACCCUGAUCCAGCCAUGCCGCGUGUGUGAAGAAGGCCUUAGGGUUGUAAAGCACUUUCAGUGGGGAGGAAGGCUUCUGGCUAAUAAUCGGAAGUACUUGACGUUACCCACAGAAGAAGCACCGGCUAAUUUCGUGCCAGCAGCCGCGGUAA